UUGCAUCAAGGGGGAUAUAGGAU
rnacentral:misc_RNA from 1 species